GACGAACGCUGGCUGCGUGCUUAACACAUGCAAGUCGAACGCGGAAACCCUGGUGCUUGCACCGGGGUGGAUGAGUGGCGAACGGGUGAGUAACACGUGAGUAACCUGCCCCCGACUUCGGGAUAAGCCCGGGAAACUGGGUCUAAUACCGGAUAUGAGCGCCCCUCGCAUGAGGGAUGCUGGAAAGUCUUUUCGGUUGGGGAUGGGCUCGCGGCCUAUCAGUUUGUUGGUGAGGUAAUGGCUCACCAAGACGACGACGGGUAGCCGGCCUGAGAGGGCGAACGGCCACACUGGGACUGAGACACGGCCCAGGCUCCUACGGGAGGCAGCAGUGGGGAAUAUUGCACAAUGGGGGAAACCCUGAUGCAGCGACGCAGCGUGCGGGAUGACGGCCUUCGGGUUGUAAACCGCUUUCAGCAGGGAAGAAGCCCCUUGGGGUGUCGGUACCUGCAGAAGAAGUACCGGCUAACUACGUGCCAGCCGCCGCCGUAA
rnacentral:rRNA from 1 species